rnacentral:rRNA from 1 species
UACAGAGGUCUCAAGCGUUGUUCGGAUUCAUUGGGCGUAAAGGGUACGUAGGCGGCGCGGUAAGUCGGGUGUGAAAUCUUGGAGCUUAACUCCGAAACUGCAUUCGAUACUGCCGUGCUUGAGGACUGGAGAGGAGACUGGAAUUUACGGUGUAGCGGUGAAAUGCGUAGAUAUCGUAAGGAAGACCAGUGGCGAAGGCGGGUCUCUGGACAGUUCCUGACGCUGAGGCACGAAGGUCAGGGGAGCAAACGGG